rnacentral:rRNA from 1 species
UACGGAGGGGGCAAGCGUUAUUCGGAAUCAUUGGGCGUAAAGGGCGCGUAGGCGGCCUGGCAAGUCAAAGGUGAAAUCCCUCGGCCCAACCGAGGAACCGCCUUUGAAACUGCAAGGCUCGAGGCCGGGAGAGGGUAGCGGAAUUCCCAGUGUAGCGGUGAAAUGCGUAGAUAUUGGGAGGAACACCAGUGGCGAAGGCGGCUACCUGGACCGGUUCUGACGCUGAGGCGCGAAAGUGUGGGGAGCGAACAGG